GAAAAACAGAAGCUGCAAAAUCUUCCAAAAUGUCUGGAUGGUGGAACUCUGCUAUUUCUGCACAGUCUGUACUGUUCUCUCCCUACAGACUCUACCAACAGGCUACUACCAACUCUCCCUACAGACUCUACCAACAGGCUACUUUGAGAGCCUUCCUUCUUCCCUUUCCCUCUUACUCGAAUGAUUAAAUGCUGAGGACUGAAAAAAAAGACAGUCUCUUUCAAAAUGCAGAGAUCAACUUUGCAUAGCUUUAACACACCAGGAGCACGUAUAUUCUCUUUUCCAAAGGAUAUGACUUGCAAAGUCAGAUAACCCGUAGAUAAAGGUCACGUCCCUGAUGCAAAGCACACCUUGAUGAAGCUUUCAGGUGCCUGGCACACUAAAGCAAGAAAUUCUGUAACACAUAAUAAACAUUUCCUCACCACAUCUCUGACAUCCCCAGCAGAGUGCUUGAAGACAGAUUUUCUCAGGAUGAAUCCCAGUGAAAAAUGGAAGACUGAAACUCUUUUGGAUGUUGCUGGAGUAUGAAAAGUUCUGGUUGUUCGUCCUUUAGGAAAAGGCUCUUGGCUGAAGAGCAAGAUGAUGGAGUAGAAGCAAGAGGACAUUCUCUGGUCAUGUGGGAGGCUCUCAUGGCUACACAACCUGAAUCCUCAUCAUGAACAGCUUUGAGGAGAAAGGGAGCGACUGGGGCAGAGAAAAAUGGACACAACCUCCCAGCAGUCCAUCAGAUGCCUCCACAGACUCUUUCAAAGCUCUAUAUUCACUGAUAUACACCCAGUGUCCCUUAUCCAGUGCAGCAUCUUUGGUUUCUUUGUGGAGGGAAGAGGAGGCUGACCUUCUUAAAACAGAGGAACAUUGCAGAAUUAUCCAACACAUGAAAUUAUACUUCCAAAAAUCAGAGAUGUUCUCCAGUACUCAUUAA
rnacentral:lncRNA from 1 species